rnacentral:rRNA from 1 species
AGUGAACGCUGGCGGUAGGCCUAACACAUGCAAGUCGAACGGCAGCACAGUAAGAGCUUGCUCUUACGGGUGGCGAGUGGCGGACGGGUGAGGAAUACAUCGGAAUCUACUUUUUCGUGGGGGAUAAGGAGGGAAACUUAAGCUAAAAACGCAUAAGACCUUCGGGGGAAAGCAAGGGAACUUUGGACCUUGCGCCAUUGGAUGAGCCGAUGUCGGAUUAGCUAGUUGGCGGGGUAAAGGCCCACCAAGGCGACGAUCCGUAGCUGGUCUGAGAGGAUGAUCAGCCACACUGGAACUGAGACACGGUCCAGACUCCUACGGGAGGCAGCAGUGGGGAAUAUUGGACAAUGGGCGCAAGCCUGAUCCAGCCAUACCGCGUGGGUGAAGAAGGCCUUCGGGUUGUAAAGCCCUUUUGUUGGGAAAGAAAAGCAGCAGGUUAAUACCCCGCUGUUCUGACGGUACCCAAAGAAUAAGCACCGGCUAACUUCGUG